AACGAGGCCGACCUGCGGCUGAGUUACCUGCGGAAGGAUCAUUACAAGUGACCCCGGUCUAACCACCGGGAUGUUCAUAACCCUUUGUUGUCCGACUCUGUUGCCUCCGGGGCGACCCUGCCUUCGGGCGGGGGCUCCGGGUGGACACUUCAAACUCUUGCGUAACUUUGCAGUCUGAGUAAACUUAAUUAAUAAAUUAAAACUUUCAGCAACGGAUCU
rnacentral:misc_RNA from 1 species